AUGGGAGCUGCCUCCCUGCAAAUGUCAACCCACUCGGGUGCCUGCCUGGGAGGAGUCCUGGGUGGCUCCCUGGGAUGGGAGCUUCCAGCGAGCAGAAGCAAAACAACUCGGGCCGCUACCUGGGAGGAAUUGUGGGCAGCUACUUGUGAAGAUGGAGCAUACUUCAUGCAGAGGCAAGCCCACUGGACAGACUACCUUGGAGAAAUCCCGGGAGUAAUCCCGAACAGCUCCCUGUGGCGUCAUCUACCUCCAGUGGAGGCCAAGCUACCCGGUCAGCUGCCUGGGYGGGAUCAUAGGCAGACUAGGACUUGCUCCUGGGAUAGAAGCUUCCUCCCCGCAGCAGCAAACCAAUUUAAGUGUCUCCCUGGGAGGAUUCCUGGGUGGCUACCUGGCAAAGAAGCUUCAUCCCUGCAGAGGAGUCCUCAUCAGCGACCCAGGACGAGACCUUUUACACAGCAGAGGAAAACCAACCGAGAUGGCUACCUGGGAGGAGUGCUGAGCAGCUCCCUGCAGUGGGAGCUGCCUCCCCGUGGAGGCAAACCAACUCGAGUUUCUGCCUGCGAGGAGUCCCGUGCCACUACCUGGGGUGGCUGUUGCAUCCCAGCAGAGGAAAGCCAGAUCGACCGGCUGCCUGGGAGGAGUCCCAGGUGGCUACCUGGAAUGGGAGCGACCUCCAGUGGAGGAAACCCAACUGGGGCGACUACCUGGGAGGAGUCCUGCUCGGGUAUCUGCCGUGGGAGCUUCAUCCUAGCAGAGGCAAAUCAACUGGGACAGCUACCUUGGAGGAGUCCUAGGCAGCUACCCGGGCUGAGAGCUGCCUCCCUGAGGAGGCAAAUCAACUUGGGCAGCUUCCUGCGAGGAGUCCUGGGCAGCUACCUCAGAUGGGAGCAACUUCCCCUUGAGGCAAAACAAUUCAGGAAGCUAUACCAGAGGAUUCCCAAGCAGCUCCGUGGGGGUAAGAGCGACCUCGCAGCAGAGUCAGAACAACUCAGGCUGCUACCUUGGAUGGGAGCUUCCUCCCAGCAAAGGCAAUCCAGUUCAGGCAGCUGCCUCAGAGGACUUUCUGGUGCAUACCUGGCAUGGGAGCGACCUCCCUGCAGAGGCAAAACCAUCUCGGGCAGCUACGUCACAGGAGGCCCCCGCUGA
rnacentral:lncRNA from 1 species